rnacentral:rRNA from 1 species
CUGGCGGCGUGCCUAAUACAUGCAAGUCGAGCGAACAGAUAAGGAGCUUGCUCCUUUGACGUUAGCGGCGGACGGGUGAGUAACACGUGGAUAACCUACCUAUAAGACUGGGAUAACUUCGGGAAACCGGAGCUAAUACCGGAUAACAUAUUGAACCGCAUGGUUCAAUAGUGAAAGGCGGCUUUGCUGUCACUUAUAGAUGGAUCCGCGCCGUAUUAGCUAGUUGGUAAGGUAACGGCUUACCAAGGCAACGAUACGUAGCCGACCUGAGAGGGUGAUCGGCCACACUGGAACUGAGACACGGUCCAGACUCCUACGGGAGGCAGCAGUAGGGAAUCUUCCGCAAUGGGCGAAAGCCUGACGGAGCAACGCCGCGUGAGUGAUGAAGGUCUUCGGAUCGUAAAACUCUGUUAUCAGGGAAGAACAAAUGUGUAAGUAACUGUGCACAUCUUGACGGUACCUGAUCAGAAAGCCACGGCUAACUACGUGCCAGCAGCCGCGGUAAUACGUAGGUGGCAAGCGUUAUCCGGAAUUAUUGGGCGUAAAGCGCGCGUAGGCGGUUUUUUAAGUCUGAUGUGAAAGCCCACGGCUCAACCGUGGAGGGUCAUUGGAAACUGGAAAACUUGAGUGCAGAAGAGGAAAGUGGAAUUCCAUGUGUAGCGGUGAAAUGCGCAGAGAUAUGGAGGAACACCAGUGGCGAAGGCGACUUUCUGGUCUGUAACUGACGCUGAUGUGCGAAAGCGUGGGGAUCAAACAGGAUUAGAUACCCUGGUAGUCCACGCCGUAAACGAUGAGUGCUAAGUGUUAGGGGGUUUCCGCCCCUUAGUGCUGCAGCUAACGCAUUAAGCACUCCGCCUGGGGAGUACGACCGCAAGGUUGAAACUCAAAGGAAUUGACGGGGACCCGCACAAGCGGUGGAGCAUGUGGUUUAAUUCGAA